CAGCCGCCGCGGGAAUACGAAGGGGGCUAGCGUUGCUCAGAAUUACUGGGCGUAAAGGGAGCGUAGGCGGGUCGUUUAGUCAGAGGUGAAAUCCCGGGGCUCAACCUCGGAACUGCCUUUGAUACUGGCGACCUUGAGUAUGGGAGAGGUAAGUGGAACUCCGAGUGUAGAGGUGAAAUUCGUAGAUAUUCGGAAGAACACCAGUGGCGAAGGCGACUUACUGGCCCAUUACUGACGCUGAGGCUCGAAAGCGUGGGGAGCAAACAGGAUUAGAUACCCCAGUAGUCCCUGUCUCUUAUAC
rnacentral:rRNA from 1 species